GAGUUUGAUCCUGGCUCAGGAUGAACGCUGGCGGCGUGCUUAACACAUGCAAGUCGAACGGAGUACCCCUGAAGGAGUUUUCGGACAACUGAUGGGACUACUUAGUGGCGGACGGGUGAGUAACGCGUGAGUAACCUGCCUUGGAGUGGGGAAUAACAGCUGGAAACAGCUGCUAAUACCGCAUAAUAUGUCUGUGUCGCAUGGCACUGGACAUCAAAGAUUUAUCGCUCUGAGGUGGACUCGCGUCUGAUUAGCUAGUUGGCGGGGUAACGGCCCACCAAGGCGACGAUCAGUAGCCGGACUGAGAGGUUGGCCGGCCACAUUGGGACUGAGACACGGCCCAGACUCCUACGGGAGGCAGCAGUGGGGAAUAUUGGGCAAUGGGCGCAAGCCUGACCCAGCAACGCCGCGUGAAGGAAGAAGGCUUUCGGGUUGUAAACUUCUUUUCUCAGGGACGAAGCAAGUGACGGUACCUGAGG
rnacentral:rRNA from 1 species